AUCCAGCUGACGAGUCCCAAAUAGGAUGUAACGUGCGUCGUGGAU
rnacentral:hammerhead_ribozyme from 1 species